rnacentral:misc_RNA from 1 species
GAUGAAGAACGCAGUGAAAUGCGAUACGUAAUGUGAAUUGCAGAAUUCAGUGAAUCAUCGAAUCUUUGAACGCAUAUUGCGCUCUCUGGUAUUCCGGAGAGCAUGCUUGUUUGAGUAUCAGUAAACACCUCAACUUCCAUAUCUUUUUUGAAAUGGGAGUUGGACUUGAGUGAUCCCAACGCCUUUCCUCACCGAAAAGUGGCGGGUUACUUGAAAUGCAGGUGCAGCUGGACUUUUCUCUGAGCUAUAAGCAUAUCUAUUUAGUCUGCCUAAAAAACAGAUUAUUACCUUUGCUGCAGCUAACAUAAAGGAGAUUAGUUCUUGUGCUGACUGAUGCAGGAUUCACAAAGACAGGCUUCGGCCGACUUUGUAAACUCGAUCUCAAAUCAAGUAAGACUACCCGCUGAACUUAAGCAUAUCAAUAAGCGGAGGA